AGCGGGCUCCGCGGGCAGAGCCGCACGCCGCCGGGCUCUGGCCGAGCAGGGAGGGCAGCGGUUAACUUUUGGGGUUUUGGUGAGCUCAGAGGAGCUGCCCUUGGCACGGCCCGCGGCUGCCGUUCCAGGGCUGCUGGCUCCGAGGGUUUUACUGGAAAACCUCGAGGCGCGGGAGCAGCCAGCUGGUGAUGGAGCGGCCGGGCGAGGACAAACCCGCGCUCUGUUUUUCCCGGUCCUUUCUGCUGUAGGACAAACACGGGCCUGCGAGGCUGCUGGGGAGGGCGAAACCCCGCGGGGUUUUGGGGUCAGACCCUUCCUUUUUGCACAUUUACCCCUCCUGCGUCCCUGCCCGAGUGGCUGCACCCAGGACCGGCGUGGGGGAUGCUGAAAAACCCCAGGCUCUGCCUCCUGGUGGGAAUUUUUCAGCAGUUCCCUGGGCUCCUCGUGAUGCUGAUUGUUGGGUUGGGGCUUUCUAUCACAUCUGCCGCGGCACGGAGCACGGAGCCUUGCCUUUUCCUUCCCAUGUGGCCAGGGGAUGGUUGCAGGCUUCUGGUCACCGCUGACAGAGGGGAUGAAUUAAUGCCAGGGGUUUAUGGAGCCAGCUGUGCUCUGAACCCACAUCGGGAGCCGGCUGGGUGACGAGGAGCUCAUCCCAUGCAGCUCCUCGCUCCCUCUCCGAAGCAGGACGCAGUAAUUCUGGGCACGUUUCUGGAGCAAACAUUUCACCUAGGUGAGCUCCUGUUCGCUAAAGAGGCUCCAAUUAACUUCCAUUAGCGAAGGAGAAAUUGGAUCUGAACUCAUAAAACUCCCUGCCUGAAACGGCCAGUUCUUCUCCCAGAGUUUUUUAAGGAGAUUUUCGUGUCCCACACUGAUCUCUCCGCCCGUCACAUGCUCGGUGUCGUCGCCGGACGCGGCCGGGAGUAGGGUUUCAGGCUGGCUUCACCGUCUCCAAGGUUAACCGAAGAGACGGGCUAAAUAUAAUUGAAACCGGCCCAAUUCCCACCUGCCUUUUUAGUGCUGUUUUUAUUUAUUUUUUUAUUUUUUUUUAUCUAAAGAGGCUGCUGGGGGUGAGCACGUGGCAGGCAGCGGCGUGCCCGGGGAGUGCUCCUGCUUUUUCCUUCGUGUUGAGCUGGUGGCAAACGCAACGGGGGCGCGAUAAUUUGGAGCAGGUUGGAGGCAGGGAGAGGGAAACCACAGCGAGGAAUCGCUUCUCCCAAAGGACACUGAGGUGGCUUCUUGGGGAGGGCUCCCCUGAGGAGACCCCUAAAUGCAUCCCGCUGAGAAAGGAGCAGCACAAAACAACCUGGGAAGCAUUUUGGGGUGCAAAUAGGCUUUUUUGUCUUUUUUUUUUUUCUCCCACAAACGCAGUGCUAUUUACCUCGGAGCUUUGCUCCUGGCACCAAAGGUGGGACCCCGAGGAGCAGCCCUGGGUUUUGUGAGCCCAGCUACCUCUGUGUGGGGCUGCCCCUCGCCUCGCUCCCCCCAGAACCCUGUCUCAGCUCUGGGAGUAGCCCCGAGGUGCCCGGCAUCGCCACCGUAACCAGGCUGGCCGAAAAUGUGCGAUUACCAGGGCGAGCAUCCCUGGGCUGGAGUUUUGCAGGCUUUUUUUUUUUUAUAUAUAUAGGUUUUGAGUUGUACAGACCAUAAUUCGCGGUUCCGGUUCCUAAAACGCGGGCUGCAGCCGAAAUCCCGCAUUCCAGCUUUUGUUACAACCUUUCCCCCCCCCCCCCUCCUCCUCCAUCCCCCCCCCCCCUCCUCUUCUCCAUUUUAAUCUGAGUACAAAUUGCUGUCAGCACAUCAAGUUCGUGUGCCAGCCGCGCUCGGUACACUGUGUUCUGAGCUCUUCAAAAACAAAAUCGCUGCAGGCACCGGGAGAACAAUAAGUCAGCGCGGCAGCCGAAGGGAUGUGCGGCGGCCCAGCGGGGGCUUUUCUCCCCGUAAUCCAAGAGCAGCCGGAGCCAGCUGACCUGCUGCACACAGCGCCCAAACGCUCCUGGAAACCAACGCGGAGAUCUCCCCGUUGCUUUCCGUGUGAUUAAAAUGGAAGGAAAGCUUUUUUUUUUUCUUUUUUUUUCUUUUUUUUUUUUCUCCCCUCCGAGCACGGGCUGGGAGCUCGCAUCCUCCCGGGCAGCCUGGUGUAAGCGGGCUCGUGGGGGUGCUGCCGCGUCCCGCUGGUGAUGGGGUGACCCUGGGGAGAUGUGGGUGGGCGCUGGUUUUGGGGCCAGGCGGUGGGCACGGCUCAGGCUGGGUUGUGCUCACCGGGAAAAAGGCACCUGGAUGGCAGGGGGGUGGCGUGGUGCCGCGGGGAUGCCUGUUUUGGGCUGGAUAUCCCGUUUUUUUGCACCUAAGGAGAUGAAGCAGGGGUUAGUCCCAGAGGUGGGGUUGCUGGAGGGUUUUCCCGGUGGCAGGUUGCUGAAAGUCGUGGCUGUGCUCCUUGUCCUGAGCUGGCUGAGAGCGCGCAGCCUGUGUGUCCCCUCGCUGCUGUGCACCCCUGAGGGAUGCAGGAUGCGUCCUGGCAUGGAGCGAGCAUCCUCUGCCACCCCUGUGCCGUGCCGUGCCGGGAGCCUGGCGUUACGCAGGCAGGUUGCAGAGGACAGGAUCCUCGGGUGAUGUUAUGGGGUGGCCCUGCAGGCACAUUUAAUACCCGAGUGCUGGAACUGCUUGUGUUCAUGCUGGUGCUGGUGCUCACCUCCCCGUGACAUCCAGAGCCAGGUAGCUCAGGAUCCGUCCCGCAGCCACCAGAUCACCUUUGGGUCCCUCGGUGGCUCGCCCUUUGCCGUUUGGGGCAUUCCCUGCAAGAGGUUUAAGGGAAACUCGUUCCUUGAUCUGCAGCACCGUGCUUGAAGGGCAGAGGCAUCACCAAACGCUGCACCACCAAGGUGCAGGAUGGAGAGCAGACCAUCGCCAGCUGGGCACAGGGUUUUUUGCUUUCCAAGGGUCUCUCCCCAUUUUGCCAGCAUUUAUAUGGGCACGAGAAACUCUUCCUGCUUCAGCUCUGCAGCGUGCAAAUUUGCUCGUGGCUGUACGGUGUGGCUCUUUCCCACCCUGGGGGCUGCCAACACCAGCCCAAAUGGUUGCAGAUUUUUAAGCGUUUCUGACAGCGUUACUGCCUGCUGUGAUUUCUCUCCUCUUAGAAGCUUUUUUUUGGGGGUUUUCUGUGGUAGGUAGGAGUUUCUUAUGAAAUCCCUUUUACUUUACAUUUGCUUGCACGCUCGCGUGCACUUGGGAGGGCAAAGAACACGCGGUGCCCCCCCAGGCGUGCACCGUCCUGGGGAUCAAAUCAGUAAAGAACAAUCUCGCCGUGGAAAUCACGCCAGGAGCACCAGGUGGCGAAUGUGCCAGGUACCCGCUGUCCGCUCCGCCUGCGCCUCUGCCAGCUCCCCGGGCUGGAACAGCGCGGCCAUUGGUUGAAGAUUAAAAAAAAAAAAAAAA